CUACGGGGGGCUGCAGUGAGGAAUAUUGCACAAUGGGGGGAACCCUGAUGCAGCAACGCCGCGUGGAGGAUGACGCAUUUCGGUGUGUAACCUCCUUUUAUAUGUCAAGAAAAUGACGGUAGCAUAUGAAUAAGCACCGGCUAACUCCGUGCCAGCAGCCGCGGUAAUACGGAGGGUGCAAGCGUUACUCGGAAUCACUGGGCGUAAAGGACGCGUAGGCGGGUUGGAAAGUCAGGUGUGAAAUCCUACAGCUUAACUGUAGAACUGCACUUGAAACUUCUAAUCUAGAGUAUGGGAGGGGGAGAUGGAAUUAGUGGUGUAGGGGUAAAAUCCGUAGAUAUCACUAGGAAUACCUAAAGCGAAGGCGAUCUGCUGGAACAUUACUGACGCUAAGGCGUGAAAGCGUGGGGAGCAAACAGGAUUAGAUACCCGGGUAGUC
rnacentral:rRNA from 1 species